UACGUAGGGUGCAAGCGUUGUCCGGAAUUAUUGGGCGUAAAGAGCUCGUAGGCGGUUUGUCGCGUCUGCUGUGAAAACUCAGGGCUUAACUCUGAGCUUGCAGUGGGUACGGGCAGACUAGAGUGCGGUAGGGGAGACUGGAAUUCCUGGUGUAGCGGUGAAAUGCGCAGAUAUCAGGAGGAACACCCGUGGCGGAAGGCGGCUCUCUGGGACGGUAC
rnacentral:rRNA from 1 species